AUUGAACGCUGGCGGCAGGCCUAACACAUGCAAGUCGAACGAGUGGCGGACGGGUGAGUAAUGUCUGGGAAACUGCCCGAUGGAGGGGGGUAACUACUGGAAACGGUAGCUAAUACCGCAUACCAUCGGAUUUGCCCAGAUGGGAUUAGCUAGUAGGUGGGGGAACGGCUCACCUAGGCGACGAUCCCUAGCUGGUCUGAGAGGAUGACCGGCCACACGGGAACUGAGAAACGGUCCAGAUUCCUACGGGAGGCAGCAGGGGGGAAUAUUGCACAAUGGGCGCAAGCCGGAUGCAGCCAGGCCGCGGGUAUGAAGAAGGCCUUCGGGUUGUAAAGUACUUUAAGCGAGGAGGCGUUACUCGCAGAGGAAGCACCGGCUAACUCCGUGCCAGCCGCCGCGGUAAUUC
rnacentral:rRNA from 1 species